rnacentral:rRNA from 1 species
GAUGAACGCUGGCGGCGUGCCUAAUACAUGCAAGUCGAGCGAACAGACGAGGAGCUUGCUCCUCUGACGUUAGCGGCGGACGGGUGAGUAACACGUGGAUAACCUACCUAUAAGACUGGGAUAACUGUGGGAAACCGGAGCUAAUACCGGAUAAUAUAUUGAACCGCAUGGUUCAAUAGUGAAAGACGGUUUUGCUGUCACUUAUAGAUGGAUCCGCGCCGCAUUAGCUAGUUGGUAAGGUAACGGCUUACCAAGGCAACGAUGCGUAGCCGACCUGAGAGGGUGAUCGGCCACACUGGAACUGAGACACGGUCCAGACUCCUACGGGAGGCAGCAGUAGGGAAUCUUCCGCAAUGGGCGAAAGCCUGACGGAGCAACGCCGCGUGAGUGAUGAAGGUCUUCGGAUCGUAAAACUCUGUUAUUAGGGAAGAACAAAUGUGUAAGUAACUAUGCACGUCUUGACGGUACCUAAUCAGAAAGCCACGGCUAACUACGUG